rnacentral:rRNA from 1 species
GACGAACGCUGGCGGCGUGCUUAACACAUGCAAGUCGAACGGAAAGGCCCUGCUUUCGUGGGGUGCUCGAGUGGCGAACGGGUGAGUAACACGUGAGUAACCUGCCCUUGACUUUGGGAUAACUUCAGGAAACUGGGGCUAAUACCGUAUAGGAGCUCCUGUUGCAUGGAGGGGGUUGGAACGUUUCGGCGGUUGGGGAUGGACUCGCGGCUUAUCAGCUUGUUGGUGGGGUAGUGGCUUACCAAGGCUUUGACGGGUAGCCGGCCUGAGAGGGUGACCGGCCACAUUGGGACUGAGAUACGGCCCAGACUCCUACGGGAGGCAGCAGUGGGGAAUAUUGCACAAUGGGCGGAAGCCUGAUGCAGCAACGCCGCGUGCGGGAUGACGGCCUUCGGGUUGUAAACCGCUUUCGCCUGUGACGAAGCGUGAGUGACGGUAAUGGGUAAAGAAGCACCGGCUAACUACGUG